UUACCUGCCUGUCAAGCGUCUUAAAGGUCUGAUCUGCACGGACGCGUCCAGCGUGCACCAUCGAGUGGGUUUGGCCGUCAUCUGCUGCUGAGUGGCGAAAGUGAAACGCCGUCUUCUGCGAACUGCAAUGAAGGCAACACCAGGCAUCUCGAAGGGAGACCGGUAUCCCGUCCAAAACAUCUGUGCCCAGUUCUUCACCUGCUGAAACCCGUCUUCCUCGUCCAACCCACAGACUUAGCGGGAGCGAGGCUUCCAGCUCUUCAUAAAUUUGGGCGAGCGUGCAUAAACACUCAGAUGGCACCUUGCUUGAAGCCGUUAUGUACAGUACUUCAUUAUUUAUGGCGUACAGCGUGUAACCUUCCAGAUGUUUUUUUUUUUUUUUAAGGUUCUGCCCAUCAACAUCCUUGCUUUACAUGUUUAUUUUCAUGUUAUACAUCUUUCGCUUGGCACUUUUAUUCAGUUUAAAUUAUUAUAAAGUCGAU